GCCAGCAUAGCUCAGGGGUAGAGCAGCUCAUUCGUAAUGAGCAGGUCGUGGGUUCAAAUCCCACCGCUGGCUCCA
rnacentral:tRNA from 1 species